AUGAAUAAGUGUGCGCUCACCAGAUUCAAAGAAAGGAGGCAAAAGGGGUUGCAGACCAGGAUAUUUACAGCCAUGGAAGCACUCCUUACAGAAGUAGAAAACCACCAGAGAUCUGUUGGACUUGUGGAUGGUGAAGUUCUUACUCUGGGCUUGAAGAUGUUGAUCUGUGAAGUGAGGAACAUCUGCAGUCCCUGGGCUCCAGACUGGUCGCCUAGCUUGCUCUGUG
rnacentral:lncRNA from 1 species